rnacentral:rRNA from 1 species
GACAGAGGGUGCAAACGUUGUUCGGAAUUACUGGGCGUAAAGCGCGUGUAGGCGGCUAAGUAAGUCGGGCGUGAAAUCCCACGGCUCAACCGUGGAAGUGCACUCGAAACUGCAUAGCUAGAGUCCUGGAGAGGAAGGUGGAAUGCUUGGUGUAGAGGUGAAAUUCGUAGAUAUCAAGCGGAACACCGGUGGCGAAGGCGACUUACUGGACACAUAUUGACGCUGAGGUGCGAAAGCGUGGGGAGCAAACAGGG